CGGUAAUUCCAUGCUCCAAUAGCGUAUACUAAAGUUGUUGCAGUUAAAAAGCUCGUAGUUGGAUUUCUGCGGGGACGGAGCGGCCGGUCGCAACUUGCGACUCGAGCUAGCGCUUUCCCCGCAUCCUGCCGCGAACCGUGCUACCAUUAGCUUGGUGGCGCUGGGGAUCGGCUCGAUUACUUUGAGAAAAAUAGAGUGUUCAAAGCAGGCCACACGCCUUGAAUAAGUUAGCAUGGAAUAAUGACUAAGGACUUCGGUUCUAUUUUGUUGGUGUUCGGGACUGAAGUAAUGAUUGAUAGGGACAGUUGGGGCGGUCUGUAUUCCAAAGCGAGAGGUGAAAUUCUUAGACCUUCGGAAGACAAACAGCUGCGAAAGCGUUCCGCAAGGAUGUUCCCUUUGAUCAAGAACGAAAGUUGGGGGAUCGAAGACGAUCAGAUACCGUCGUAGUCUCAACUAUAAACUAUACCAGCUAGGGAUCGGUCAACGUUUAAUCAUUCGACUUGAUCGGCACCUUAUGAGAAAUCAAAGCAUCUGGGUUCCGGGGGGAGUAUGGUCGCAAGGCUGAAACUUAAAGGAAUUGACGGAAGGGCACCACCAGCCGUGGAGCCUGUGGCUUAAUUUGACUCAACACGGGAAAACUUACCAGGUCCAGACAUAGUAAGGAUUGACAGAUUGAUAGCUCUUUCUUGAUUCUGUGGGUGGUGGUGCAUGGCCGUUCUUAGUUGGUGGAGUGAUUUGUCUGGUUAAUUCCGUUAACGAACGAGACCCCAGCCUGCUAAAUAGCGCGGCUGAGCUUUGCUCGGUGCGAGCUUCUUAGAGGGACUAUGAUGCGCGAUAGCACAUGGAAGUUUGGGGCAAUAACAGGUCUGUGAUGCCCUUAGAUGUUCUGGGCCGCACACGGGCUACACUGGCGCCUGCAACGAGCAUAUCAGCUGGCCCGAGAGGGUCUUGGCUAAUCUUUUGAACCGGCGCCGUGCUUGGGAUUGACCAUUGCAAUUGUUGGUCAUGCAACGAGGAAUGCCUUGUAAACGCGAGUCAUCAGCUCGCAUUGAAUACGUCCCUGCCCUUUGUACACACCGCCCGUCGCUCCUACCGAUGAAUGUUCCGAUGAAAUUUUCGGAGAGCGCCAGAGAACGGGGCUCCGCCUUGCAGAUCUGGAGGCUCAAAGUCACUUAAAUCUGAACAUUUCGAGGAAGGGGAAGUCGUAACAAGGUAACC
rnacentral:rRNA from 1 species